AUUGAACGCUGGCGGCAUGCUUUACACAUGCAAGUCGAACGGCAGCGCGGGCUUCGGCCUGGCGGCGAGUGGCGAACGGGUGAGUAAUGCAUCGGAACGUGCCCAGUAGUGGGGGAUAGCCCGGCGAAAGCCGGAUUAAUACCGCAUACGACCUGAGGGUGAAAGCGGGGGACCGAAAGGCCUCGCGCUAUUGGAGCGGCCGAUGUCGGAUUAGCUAGUUGGUGGGGUAAAGGCUUACCAAGGCGACGAUCCGUAGCUGGUCUGAGAGGACGACCAGCUACACUGGGACUGAGACACGGCCCAGACUCCUACGGGAGGCAGCAGUGGGGAAUUUUGGACAAUGGGGGCAACCCUGAUCCAGCCAUGCCGCGUGCGGGAAGAAGGCCUUCGGGUUGUAAACCGCUUUUGUUCGGGAAGAAAUCCUCUGGGCUAAUACCCCGGGGGGAUGACGGUACCGGAAGAAUAAGCACCGGCUAACUACGUG
rnacentral:rRNA from 1 species